UGUUCUCUGGGGUGUUUGCCAGCAUGUGAAUGUCCCUGAGCCGAUACUUUUAGACCAGGGUCCUGUCGGACUACUAGUGUGCAAGCCCGACCCGAAUCGGGAAGCCUUCGGUAGCUUCUUCAGCACCCGCCUUGAACCUCUGGGUUCAAGGGCUGACACGAUGCAGCGGCACUCUGGAGAACCC
rnacentral:other from 1 species